rnacentral:pre_miRNA from 1 species
CAGAUACUCCCUCCGUUCGGAAUUACUUGUCAAUAAAAUAGAUGUAUCUACAACUAAACUACAUCUAGAUACAUUCAUUUUUUGAACGAGUAAUUUCGAACGGAGGAAGUAAAUC